rnacentral:rRNA from 1 species
UGGGGAAUUUUGCGCAAUGGGGGAAACCCUGACGCAGCAACGCCGCGUGGAGGAUGAAGUCCCUUGGGACGUAAACUCCUUUCGACCGGGACGAUUAUGACGGUACCGGUGGAAGAAGCCCCGGCUAACUUCGUGCCAGCAGCCGCGGUAAUACGAGGGGGGCAAGCGUUGUUCGGAAUUAUUGGGCGUAAAGGGCGCGUAGGCGGUGCGGUAAGUCACCUGUGAAAUCUCCGGGCUUAACUCGGAGUCUGCAGGCGAAACUGCCGUGCUGGAGUAUGGGAGAGGUGCGUGGAAUUCCCGGCGUAGCGGUGAAAUGCGUAGAUAUCGGGAGGAACACCUGUGGCGAAAGCGGCGCACUGGACCAUAACUGACGCUGAGGCGCGAAAGCUAGGGGAGCAAACAGGAUUAGAUACCCUGGUAGUCCACGCCAUAAACGAUGGAUACUAGGUGUAUGUGGUAUCGACUCCAUAUGUGCCGUAGUUAACACAGUAAGUAUCCCGCCUGGGGAGUACGGCCGCAAGG